GUGCUCACUUUGGCAGUUCCUGUACUAAAAUUAGAAUCAUACAGAGCUUGGCAUGGCUGCUGCACAAAGAUGACACGCAAAUUUGUGAAGAAACAAUAACCCAAACUU
rfam:Canis lupus familiaris chromosome 13, whole genome shotgun sequence.